AUUGAACGCUGGCGGCAGGCCUAACACAUGCAAGUCGAACGGUAACAGGAAGCAGCUUGCUGCUUCGCUGACGAGUGGCGGACGGGUGAGUAAUGUCUGGGAAGCUGCCUGAUGGAGGGGGAUAACUACUGGAAACGGUAGCUAAUACCGCAUAAUGUCGCAAGACCAAAGAGGGGGACCUUCGGGCCUCUUGCCAUCGGAUGUGCCCAGAUGGGAUUAGCUUGUUGGUGGGGUAACGGCUCACCAAGGCGACGAUCCCUAGCUGGUCUGAGAGGAUGACCAGCCACACUGGAACUGAGACACGGUCCAGACUCCUACGGGAGGCAGCAGUGGGGAAUAUUGCACAAUGGGCGCAAGCCUGAUGCAGCCAUGCCGCGUGUAUGAAGAAGGCCUUCGGGUUGUAAAGUACUUUCAGCGGGGAGGAAGGGAGUAAAGUUAAUACCUUUGCUCAUUGACGUUACCCGCAGAAUAAGCACCGGCUAACUCCGUG
rnacentral:rRNA from 1 species